rnacentral:rRNA from 1 species
CAGUAGCCACGGUAAUACGGAGGGUGCAAGCGUUAAUCGGAAUUACUGGGCGUAAAGCGCACGCAGGCGGUCUGUCAAGUCAGAUGUGAAAUCCCCGGGCUUAACCUGGGAACUGCAUUUGAAACUGGCAGGCUAGAGUCUUGUAGAGGGGGGUAGAAUUCCAGGUGUAGCGGUGAAAUGCGUAGAGAUCUGGAGGAAUACCGGUGGCGAAGGCGGCCCCCUGGACAAAGACUGACGCUCAGGUGCGAAAGCGUGGGGAGCAAACAGGAUUAGAGACCCGCGUAGUCCCUGUCUCUUAUAC